CAGUAGCUCUUGGGGAGUGAGGAGAGAUAAAGUGAAGAUAUUUAAAACCUGAGCGGUAGCCUUAGAAGAUGAUGAGGAAACAAAAAAGAGAAGACCAGGAAGGAAACUAAGAAAUGUUUUAAGGAGGAGGGAGUAGACAUCUAUCAAGAGCUACUGAUGGGCCAGCUUACAGUCUACACAAAAGGAUAUGGUAAUGCACUGAAGCAAGAGAUUCAAAUGAACAACAAUUCCAGCUCAUUUUAGAAGAAGAGAAAGAUGCUGUCAGCACCAGCCAGGACAGGUGUCGCCCACCCCGUUCUGGAGACCGGGUGGGCAGCCUACUGUCAGGCCACCCACCAUUUCCCUCUGAAGCCCACACUGCUGGUACUGGAAUGAGCCAAAGACAAAAUAUGCCA